CCCACAUUCAGGAAAAGUGGGCUACUUAUGCUUUCGAAUGUUCCCGAUUGCAUGUGAGACAGCAUAUUAUAUUCAAAGUAUUGCCCACAGUACAGAAAGAACAUUAAAAGAGACUGUAUCCAUCAUUAAAGUGUAAACAAGAAGAGAACCAGGGGAAACAGGGUUGGAAUUUUGGCCUGCUAUAUAUCCAAGCAGUCCAGAAACGAAAGCAUAAAGAAUUUUUUGCUUCUUUUCACUGCUGUUCAGUCUCCCUACACCAUCUCAUUUGAUUCUCAAUAAUGUGUCUUACUUGACACUGUAGCACGACCCCACUUCAUCAAAGGUAAACAUAACACACUACCCUUCCUUGAUAAUAAGAUAUUUCAAUCACCAGAAUACAUUCACAGUAACCUAUGAAAACUGAUCCAAGGUAUGACUCUAUGUCGGCUAAUAUCAACCUCAGUGUUAACAACACACAUGCUCUUGAUCCUAAGAAAAACAUCCAAGAUGUAAGUCUGUCAGCAAAUAUCAACCCGAGUGUUCGUUAAGACAUCCUUUUUUUAAAAGGGAAAAGGAACCUUUAGAUACAGAUUUUAAGCAGAUUUGAGUUCCCUCUUUAUAAAAAUCCCCUGCGCACCUACCUAUGUGGCAAGGUGAGUGUUGUCCAAGAGGCAUUUGGCCCCUGCCAAAAGAUCAAAUCAGAAAAAUGACAGAUAGAUUAGGAUAUAUUGAAGAAAGAUGCUUGGCUUCUCAACGGUAAUGUUCCAAGAACUUUAUUCAUACUUACCGGAUUCCCCAUAUAGCACCGUUAAUAUGCUUAUUUGCUUCGAUUGCAGGCAGGCUAAAGAUUUUUAAGUGAUCUGAAUUCCCUCUAGCUGUUAGGGGCCCCUCCGUACUUUAUGCUAUUAAGUGCAAUAACAAAUCCACUACUGAUAGAUCAAAGGCUUAUAUUUGCGGGAGUUGGAACAGAAAGAAGAGGACGAAGGUCUCCAAAUCACCUACACUCCUGAUAUUACAGUAAACAGAGGGAGUUUUCGAGGGAGCAAGAAGAUCAGGGAAAAGCACCCCAGAGUCGACGCAGUUUGAAGACUAUUGGCACAGUGGGCAUGAACACAAAGAUGUCUUCAAGUGUGACAAAGACAUUCGAUCCUAACACAUCGAGCAAAAGACAAGUCCAAAGAGGAGCGGAUCCCAUCCACAACAGGUCCUAAAUCUAUUCAAGUGUGGUUCCUUCGACUAAAAGAAAAGGUCGAGCAAGCUAAUUAGACAGACUGGAAGGAGGAGUUUCCUCGGAGAUGUGAAGGCUAGCAUUUAAAGUUAUCCCGCCUUCAACGGGAGGCUGUGUGAAGGUUGAUUUGUUUCUCUGAGUAUUGUGUUUUGUCAGCUAUUGUCAUAAAGCAACUUGUACAGGCAAAGCUAAGCUAUUGUAGGAUUUGUAUUGAGAGUAAGACCAUCACAUCUCAGUUCUUGCAA